UUCACCCCAAAAGUUGUUACAUCUUCUCUGUUAGAUCUAGGGUUUCUCUGCAAGUGUGCAGCUGUAUUCGUUCUUGUUGUUGUUGUCUCUCCUUUGUUUUGAGAGAUUGUUCAUACGGUUUGGUAGAUGAUCAUCAUCUGUAGAUGAUCAUCAGAUUUACUUUGUACUUCUGUACUUGUUAGAUCUUACUUUUGUAAGAUCAUUUGGGAUUUGGGGGGUAAAGUUUUGGUUUGGGUUAAAUAAGAGUUUUGUCACCGUUUUGUCGCUAGAUCUGUGUUUGUGUUUUUUGUUCUUUGUUAGAUUCAUCUUCAAACCAUGAUUGUUAACAUGGUAUCAGAGCUUUCAAGCUCCUGUUGAUGAUUUGUCUUGUAUAUCCGCUGCUGUUGGUUUUGUGUAUGUUUCUGAUUGUUGUUUGUUUUUUAUUUGUCUAGGGUUUCUGUGCUCGGAAACUCCUGUUUGGCAACAGAUCUGUUUAGAUCUGUUCAUUUCUGGCUGGUGUUGAAGAAAACCCUAUCUUAGGGUUGAUUGCUUAUUGGUGUUCUUCGAUCAAGACUUCUGCGUUGGUCUCUGAAUCCUUAGAAGAUUCAGGGCAAACUAACCAGAAGGGGUUUUUUCAUUAUUGGAUCUUGUAGUUCUUGAAAACUACAGAUCUGAUAUCUGUUAAAGAUUGUUGCACCCACUGAUUUGAAAUCAAAGAAAAUCCUGGUGAUUGGUAGACAGGAAAAUGGGCUGUACUUUAUAGGCUGCCAUCAUCUGUUUUAAAUGGGUUUCUGUGCUCGGAAACUCCUGUUUGGCAACAGAUCUGUUUAGAUCUGUUCAUUUCUGGCUGGUGUUGGAGAAAACCCUAUCUUAGGGUUGAUUGCUUAUUGGUGUUCUUCGAUCAAGACUUCUGCGAUGGUCUCUGAAUCCUUAGAAGAUUCAGGGCAAACUAACCAGAAGGGGUUUUUUCAUUAUUGGAUCUUGUAGUUCUUGAAAACUACAGAUCUGAUAUCUGUUAAAGAUUGUUGCACCCACUGAUUUGAAAUCAAAGAAAAUCCUGGUGAUUGGUAGACAGGAAAAUGGGCUGUACUUUAUAGGCUGCCAUCAUCUGUUUUAAAUGAUUCAUCUUCAAACCAUGAUUGUUAACACAAAGCUCUAAGCUUCUUGUGGAUUAAAGCCAGAUCAAAACAUCCAGGUCUUGACUGGAAAAUUUGGAGUGGGUUUAACAUGUAUCAGCUGGGAUGGUAGUUAGCCUUUGUUUGGUGUAGAUUCAUGUUCUGUUGGUUUAGUUUUGGUGACACUAUGUAAAUAUUUGGCUAGUAAUCUCUCUAGCUUUUGGCAAAGUAAUAAAUAUUUGUUGAUCGU
rnacentral:lncRNA from 1 species